rnacentral:rRNA from 1 species
CCUACGGGAGGCAGCAGUGAGGAAUAUUGGUCAAUGGACGAGAGUCUGAACCAGCCAAGUAGCGUGAAGGAUGACUGCCCUAUGGGUUGUAAACUUCUUUUAUAUGGGAAUAAAACGUUCCACGUGUGGGAUUUUGUAUGUACCAUAUGAAUAAGGAUCGGCUAACUCCGUGCCAGCAGCCGCGGUAAUACGGAGGAUCCGAGCGUUAUCCGGAUUUAUUGGGUUUAAAGGGAGCGUAGGUGGAUUGUUAAGUCAGUUGUGAAAGUUUGCGGCUCAACCGUAAGAUUGCAGUUGAAACUGGCAGUCUUGAGUACAGUAGAGGUGGGCGGAAUUCGUGGUGUAGCGGUGAAAUGCUUAGAUAUCACGAAGAACUCCGAUUGCGAAGGCAGUUCACUGGACUGCAACUGACACUGAGGCUCGAAAGUGUGGGUAUCAAACAGGAUUAGAUACCCCUGUAGUC